ACAAGCUGGGGCGGGGCUGCAGAGGAAACCGCUGUGGGCAGCACUGGAAGAGCAUGAGGGCUGCUGGCACAGGGGUAGACCGACCUCCUCUUCUGCCCACUUCCCGGAGUCUGAGCACAAGGCCUGCGGGAGGGCAGCCCAGGCCUCCAAGAACCUGAAGCAUCACUUCAUCUCACAAAAUGGAGUCAGUGCUGCAGCGGGUGGCACAAAGGAAUCUGGUUUCGUAGAGGAGAGACUGAAGAAAGUUGAAGCAAAAAGACGGGAGAACAGCCCGGCUCUUCCGAAAGUAACUUUCCUUUUAAGCUGUUCCUGCCACCGUACCUUUCUUCUGCCAACCUGGACUCAAACCCUCCGAAGCCGUAAGGCCGGUUAAAUGCUUCCUUUCCUAAGUGCCUUGGUCGAGACGUUGUGUCACAAAAAUAGAAAAGUUACUAAUGCAACAUGUCUGAAAACAAACAAACAAACAAGUAAAUUAUAUAAAAGCAGCGGGCACAGUGGUGCAAGCCUGUAAUCCCAGCACUGGGGAGGCAGAGGCAGGUGGGUCACUGUGAGUUCGAGGCCAGCCUGGUCUACAAAGUGAGUCCAGAACAGCCGAGGCAACACAGACAAAGCCUGUCUCGAAAAACAAAACAAAAUUAUAUAAAAGCCAGGCAAGGUGGUGCAAACCUUUAGCCCUUGGGAGGCAGAGGAAGGUGGAUCUCUGCCAGUUCUAGGCCAGCCAAGGCUAUUCAGUGAGACCCUGCCUCAAAAACAGACACAAAAACAUUUUAAGCAAAAAUACACAAUCAAUAUUCUCAAGUUUAUACCGAUAAUGAUUGAGUGAGUUCGUAAGUGGAGAGAAGAGACAGUCUCCCAUGUAGAAAAAUUCUAAGAGAUAUAUAGAAUUCCUCAGGGGUGGCGAUCUUAAGAGACGCACCGCGUAUGAAUUGGAGGUUGGAAAGCCAGGGACGUUGCUACAGUGGACAGUCUUUCAAGCCCCAGCCAGCACACUGGCUCACCUUCAAUCGGCAUGAAUUCAGAGACUCGUCACCGGUCCAAGUCCCAAGAAUAAAUGAUGGUUGGAUGCCAGAUUAUAAGCGGGACACCUGCAUCACCCUCUCCAAGACUCGGGGAACAUCAAGGGGAAAGGGCAGAGGAAUAUAAAAGCCAGACAAGGGGGGUGGCAGUGUGGAGCACUGACCCCUAGUGUGUUGCACUCACAUUUAUGG